rnacentral:lncRNA from 1 species
AUGAAAGUAAUCUGGGUAACAUCUAUCAGUAGAUUCAUUAAAUCUAUCAAUAGGUAGCAACCCAAGAGUAAGUUUGAAAGUGUUCAGUGUGCCAUCUGUUGAUAGAUGUCCCUAUUUAUCGAUAAAUGGAGGGAAAAAUGCUGAAAAUCAUGAGGAAUCCAUCGAUAAAUGCACCCAUAUAUCUGUAGAUGCAUGUAAUAG